rnacentral:rRNA from 1 species
GAUGAACGCUAGCGGCAGGCUUAAUACAUGCAAGUCGAGGGGCAACAGGGGUAGCAAUACCUGCUGGCGACCGGCAAACGGGUGCGGAACACGUACAGAACCUUCCUUUAAGCGGGGGAGUAGCCCACUAGAAAUAGUGGAUUAAUACCCACUAGUAAUAUUAGUUGGCAUCAAUUAGUAUAUUUAAAGUAAUUUAUUCACUUAAAGUAAUGG